rnacentral:rRNA from 1 species
UGACCUCAAAUCAGGUAGGACUACCCGCUGAACUUAAGCAUAUCAAAUGGGGA